rnacentral:rRNA from 1 species
ACAAAAUAAUCUAAAAAAAGGUAACUCCUGCCCAGUGAGCUUUUAACGGCCGCAGUACCCUGACUGUGCAAAGGUAGCAUAAUCAUUUGCCUUUUAAUUGAAGGCUAGAAUGAAUGGAUUAACGUGAAUAAAGCUGUCUCUGCUAUACUAAUAAAAACUAGACUGUAGAUGAAAAUAUCUACAUAUAAAUAAAGGACAAAAAGACCCUAUAGAGCUGUAUUUUUUAGGACCAAUAAAAUACCUUAUAUUAUAUUUAUCUUUCUAAAAUUUUGUUGGGGCGACAAAGGAGUAUACAAAUCCUCCUUCUUUACUUAGAUAAAUCUAUCUUCUAUAAUGAUCCUUUUAAGAUCAACAGAAAAAGCUACCUUAGGGAUAACAGACUAAUCCUUUUAGAGAGUUCAUAUUGACAAAAGGGAUUGGCACCUCGAUGUUGGCUUAAGAUAUCCUUUAGGUGCAGAAGCCUAAAAAGGUUGGUUUGUUCAACCAUUAAAAUCUUACGUGAUCUGAGUUCAGACCGGA